rnacentral:rRNA from 1 species
UGGGCGAAAGCCUGACGGAGCGACACCGCGUGAAGGAUGAAGUAUCUUUUUGGUCGUAAACUUCUGUUGUGAGGGACGAAAUUUUUGACGGUACCUCACGAGAAAGCAUCGGCUAACCCUGUGCCAGCAGCCGCGGUAAGACAGGGGAUGCAAGCGUUACUCGGAAUUACUGGGCGUAAAGCGUCUGCAGGUUUCUCAUCAGGUCUGGUGUAAAAGCACUGGGGCUCAACCCCGUGUACGUGCCGGAAACCAAUGAGAUCGGGUCAUUCAGAGGCAUCUGGAAUGUCGUGUGUAGGGGUAAAAAUCCGUAGAUCCACGAUGGAACGCCAAAAGCGAAGGCAGGAUGCUGGGGAUGUACUGACACUCAGAGACGAAAGCGUGGGGAGCAAAGGGGAUUAGAUACCCCCGUAGUCCACGCCCUAAACUAUGCGGGCUCGGUGUAGGAAUUUUCAAUUGUUCCUGUGCCCAAGUUAACACGGUAAGCCCGCCGCCUGGGAAGUACGGCCGCAAGGCUA